rnacentral:misc_RNA from 1 species
GAUGAAUAACGUAGCGAAAUGCGAUAAGUAGUGUGAAUUGCAGAAUUCAGUGAAUCAUCGAAUCUUUGAACGCACAUUGCGCCCCUUGGUAUUCCAUGGGGCAUGCCUGUUCGAGCGUCAUUUGUACCUUCAAGCUUUGCUUGGUGUUGGGUGUUUGUCCCGAGGGACUCGCCUUAAAGUAAUUGGCAGCCAGUGUUUGGUUUUGAAGCGCAGCACAAGUCGCGAUUCAAGGCUACACGCCCGCUUCCACAAGCCUUUUUUCACUUUUGACCUCGGAUCAGGUAGGGAUACCCGCUGAACUUAAGCAUAACAAUAAGCGGAGGA